CUGAGCUGGUCAGUGUUCUCAAGCUCAGGUUGGUUUGCCUGUCCUGGUCUUGGACUAGCAAACGGACAAAGGAGGGCAACUGUCUCAGCACUCACCGGCUUGGACGUUAGUUAGAGCCAACAGCAGUCACCAAUGCAACCCCGUCUGCAAAGGCCAAAAGCUGGGACAACCUGCCAGGAGCGCCUGGACGUCAGGGGAAGUUUGGACACAGCCCACAAGAGAAGAAUGCCGGGGGAAGAAGAAGAUGUCCGUCUACCAGCCAAGGAGAGAGGCCAGGGGCAACGCCUCCCUCACGGCCCUCAGAAGGAACCAAGCCUGCGGACACCUUAAUUUUGGACUUCCAGCCUCCAGAACCGGGAGACAAUACAUUUCUGUUAUGAUGCUGGCGUCUGGUGCAGGGUUAGGGACACCCUCACUUGCCUGGGGACAAGGCUCCCACCAGCCGUACACUUUGCUGGAUCACUUUGCUGGAUGACCCCUCCCGUCCCACCAGACCCUGCUGUGACUAUAACAGCAGCACGUGAGACAUCUUUCCACAUGGAUUGGUAGUUUU